GGGAAGGCUCACUACAACCUGGCUUUUCUGCUGCAAAGGAACAUAUGGAUGAAACCCAACAGUUCUGUUCCACUAUAGACUGUAUGACAGGAGAAACCUCCGAGCUUGAGUCAACACUGUCCCGCUCAAACUUUGUGAGGCAAGAUCCUUUGGGAUCAUCUCUGCGUCUUUUAUUAGAUCUGGCAUGGACCUCACCUUGGUUUUAACAAGAGCAUUAUGCUUUUGCAGUGCUAGCAAACCACAUGACAUCAGAGGAGACAGCAGCAGAAUCUGGGUCCAAAGUGUCUUUGAGUAAUGUGAGUUAUGAAAAGCUAUAGAAAACAUUCAAGCAGUGGUUACUUAGCCUACAGUACUUUUGUUAUUUUGACCGCUGUAUGUUUUAGGUACCAGUCAUAUACAUUGAUAAUGCAGAAGAAAUCACGUCAGAAUCCUCUACACAUGAGGGUCCAGGCAUAAACGAGAACCUGCCUGAGGCCACAGCAUCCACUUCCAAAACAUGGGACAGAGGGUGACAAACAAAGAAAGCCCUCAAAUGUCAAUAUGAAGGACUUGUAUAUUAAAUACUUGCAACAGGAGAUCAACUACAGGAAAUUCAAGACGCAAAAGAUUACCUUGGAGAUUAAAUUA